UGGGGAAUAUUGGACAAUGGGGGGAACCCUGAUCCAGCCAUGCCGCGUGUGUGAAGAAGGCCUUAUGGUUGUAAAGCACUUUAAGCGAGGAGGAGGCUACUUUAGUUAAUACCUAGAGAUAGUGGACGUUACUCGCAGAAUAAGCACCGGCUAACUCUGCGCCAG
rnacentral:rRNA from 1 species